rnacentral:rRNA from 1 species
GAUGAACGCUGGCGGCGUGCCUAAUACAUGCAAGUCGAGCGAACGGACGAGAAGCUUGCUUCUCUGAUGUUAGCGGCGGACGGGUGAGUAACACGUGGAUAACCUACCUAUAAGACUGGGAUAACUUCGGGAAACCGGAGCUCAUACCGGAUGCUAUUUUGAACCGCAUGGUUCAAAAGUGAAAGACGGUCUUGCUGUCACUUAUAGAUGGAUCCGCGCUGCAUUAGCUAGUUGGUAAGGUAACGGCUUACCAAGGCAACGAUGCAUAGCCGACCUGAGAGGGUGAUCGGCCACACUCGAACGGAGACACGGUCCAGACUCCUACGGGAGGCAGCAGUAGGGAAUCUUCCGCAAUAUGCGAAAGCCUGACGGAGCAACGCCGCGUGAGUGAUGAAGGUCUUCGGAUCGUAAAACUCUGUUAUUAGGGAAGAACAUAUGUGUAAGUAACUGUGCACAUCUUGACGUUACCUAAUCAGAAAGCCACGGCUAACUACGUG